rnacentral:rRNA from 1 species
CCUACGGGAUGCAGCAGUGGGGAAUAAUGCACAAUGGGCGCAAGCCUGAUGCAGCCAUGCCGCGUGUAUGAAGAAGGCCUUCGGGUUGUAAAGUACUUUCAGCGGGGAGGAAGGUGUUGUGGUUAAUAACCGCAGCAAUUGACGUUACCCGCAGAAGAAGCACCGGCUAACUCCGUGCCAGCAGCCGCGGUAAUACGGAGGGUGCAAGCGUUAAUCGGAACUACUGGGCGUAAAGCGCACGUGGGCGGUCUGUCAAGUCGGAUGUGAAAUCCCCGGGCUCAACCUGGGAACUGCAUUCGAAACUGGCAGGCUAGAGUCUUGUAGAGGGGGGUGGAAUUCCAGGUGUAGCGGUGAAAUGCGUAGAGAUCUGGAGGAAUACCGGUGGCGAAGGCGGCCCCCUGGACAAAGACUGACGCUCAGGUGCGAAAGCGUGGGGAGCAAACAGGAUUAGAUACCCCAGUAGUC